rnacentral:rRNA from 1 species
CCUACGGGAGGCUGCAGUGAGGAAUAUUGGUCAAUGGGAGAGAUCCUGAACCAGCCAAGCCGCGUGAGGGAAGACGGCCCUAUGGGUUGUAAACCUCUUUUGUCGGAGAACAAAACCCGGGACGUGUCCCGGACUGCGUGUAGCCGAAGAAAAAGCAUCGGCUAACUCCGUGCCAGCAGCCGCGGUAAUACGGAGGAGGCGAGCGUUAUCCGGAUGGAUUGGGUUUACAGGGUGCGUAGGCGGGCCGUUAAGGCAGCGGUAAAAUUGCGGGGCUCAACCCCGUCGAGCCGUUGAAACUGGCAGCCUUGAGUUGGCGAGACGUACGCGGAAUGCCCGGUGUAGCGGU